GGGUAAGCGCCAUUUUACGUGUCGUUUCACCCACGAAUUUCGUGCGCCCGCAUCCACGCGGUAUUACUUACGUGCCGGCACGGUAUGGCCUGGGAUCGAUUGGGAUAACGUAUGGGUGUACGUGGACUGGCAGGGGGACAAUGAGGGAGCGUGCAGGUUUAUGCAGUCACUCACCGCGAUUCGAAACCGUUUGGAUAUUCGCCAGGGCCUCGCUUAUCGCGCGAAUCCAUUCUUUUCCAUGACACAUAAUUAAUUCCUGACCCGCGAGCGCACGCCACGUUUCUUUGCUGAUACACCCCUAUGAUGACUGUAUGUGUCCGCACAAACACGCAUAGAGUCAUUGUUUGUAAAAGUGCGAACGCAAGCAGACAUAAAAUCAUGAUAUGGUGUGCGUAACGUUGUCGUAUUGUGUUAAUCAUAUAACGGUGUAUCGCAAUUUGCUAACAUACUCGAUAGCGUCAUUAUUUACGGCAGAUUGUUAACGUUUUUAUCACAUCGAGGCAUGUAUGUAACUGAUUUUUAAUUGGUCGCCAUUCGUAUAUCUAUUAUACAAUACCAUAUUCGUUCUCGGUGGAGUCUGUACCAUCGUAUCAAAAAUUCUAUUUAAAUGCAAUAUAUAUGGUCGUCCGCGCAGAUUGAUGCGUUUGGGGGUGCCCAGAGGGUUGUAGAGUUCAUAUGGAAAUGCAAUUACUUCGUACUCUCUUUUAUCAACAGCUUCAUGAGUGACCGAAUCGCUGGUUCCGCAUUAGCUUAUAUAUCGGGACAGAUUAUAUUGGACUCUGAAAUUCUUUGCGUAAUCCCCAUUGUUAUCAAUUAAAUCAAACCUAAUCGUAACAUUGUUCCUUCACUUCGCGUGUGAUGGUCCUCUCCCCGCUCGAAGAAAAGUAAUUAAAACGUAACUACGUUUGUGAGAGCGCGCCAAAGCAGCGCUUGUCUAAUUAAAAGAAUUUAAAUUAAUUCUCACGACGCAGUCGUACUCUGUGAGUGUGCGAUCGAUUCGAUAGAUGUAUUGUCGCGCGCGGCAAUCUAAUUUAGCUUUUUAAUUUGAAUGACGAGAAUUAUUGCAAAGAAAAGUCAGAACUUUAUGGAAAAUCGCCUGGACUUUAAUUAAAAGAUCUUUAAUCGCAGCCGAUGGGAGGCGUCGAACGUAAUAAGCCGGCGUUCUUCCGAUAAUCCUGUUCGGUACUGCAUUUCCAAUAUUCUCUGUCAUUUACAUACUCGACGAAAAACUACACCGAGUAAGUACUCGGGGAAAGUCUUCGGCGGGUUUCUCGAGUGAGGCGAAUCGACAAGUGCUCCCCUUAACAUUUGUAAGAACACUCGAAGUGAAUCAUGUAUUGUCAACUUUAUACCGUUGUCGUGCGGGGUAUCUUCAUCCUACGUCCUUUACGUCUUUUCGUUUUAGCGAGGUUGAAGAAGCUUUUGAUUUCGUCGCGAUGCUCGACCGUCAGUCGUUGUCGAUAUGGUCGAUAACCUGGGAAGAGACACAAGUUUGCGGAUUGAUCACAGUAUGGGUAAAACGGAAGCUCGCGAGCUUGCGGAAAAUAGAAUUGUCAGAGCUCGAAGCAAUCGGCAAAGGAAGAUCCUUUAGUUUCACGACGGAUGCAUCCGUUUUGUAGUAGUUAACUGUGUGUACUCGCGACGGAGCUGAACUAGGUGCUUUGCCGCAGCUUUCGAUUGCUCGCGGCGAGUAUUCGAAGGCACGCACGAAGAAGAAAUACCAUUUGAUGUCGUUAAGCAGACGUUGUUUUAUUUUUGCUUUUCGAUAAAUACGGAAAGUAGAUUUAAUUCUUAGAUGUUUCUUUUGUAAGUAUUAAGAUGAACAAGAGAUUUACAGUAUUAAAGAUUCUGAGAUAUACACAACAAUACAUGACGAAUAUUUAUAAGAAAAAUACAGUAUGUCAAAUUGCGAACAACUGAAUCGCGAAAAAUUUGCGUGACCAUACAGUCUUCUUUUAAAUCCUUGCUGCUCUCUGCGGUCGAACCGGAGAAUUCUCAGAUUGAACGGUAACGGAUGACAAUGAAACUUCAAAGUUGGAUCGAAGCUUUUGAACUUUGACAGGAGAACAUAUGACCUGCUAUCAUCGAAGAUGCAGUGUAGUCGAAGGUGAAGGAUCAUGCUUCAAACUCCAUGAGAUUUACUUUGCUACGAAACUAGAAGUGUAACUGCUCUCGUGGAUAUUGGAACAUUUGAAAACUUGUUAUCUAAAUAACCAUGAUAGUUAUAAGUUGGACAUCGUAAAUUGGCUACGAAGUAUAAUAUAACUGUAGGUAUAACGAUAUUAUCGAUCAAAAGAGAGGGAUAAUAUAUUGCUGAGAGUUAAUUAGAAAAAUUAAUUGUAUAUAUUAUAUCAACAAAAAAAA